UACGGAGGGUGCAAGCGUUAUCCGGAAUCACUGGGUUUAAAGGGUGCGUAGGCGGCCCUAUAAGUCAGAGGUGAAAGCCCACCGCUUAACGGUGGAACUGCCUUUGAAACUAUAGAGCUUGAAUUAGGUUGAGGUUAGCGGAAUGAGUCAUGUAGCGGUGAAAUGCAUAGAUAUGACUUAGAACACCAAUUGCGAAGGCAGCUGGCUGAGCCUUAAUUGACGCUGAGGCACGAAAGCGUGGGGAGCGAACAGG
rnacentral:rRNA from 1 species